UACGUAGGGGGCAAGCGUUGUCCGGAUUUAUUGGGCGUAAAGAGCGUGUAGGCGGUUUUACAGGUCCGCUGUGAAAACUCGAGGCUCAACCUCGAGAUGUCGGUGGAAACCGUCUGGCUAGAGUCCGGAAGAGGAGAGUGGAAUUCCCGGUGUAGCGGUGAAAUGCGCAGAUAUCGGGAAGAACACCCGUGGCGAAGGCGGCUCUCUAGUACGGUACUGACGCUGAGACGCGAAAGCGUGGGGAGCGAACAGG
rnacentral:rRNA from 1 species